rnacentral:misc_RNA from 1 species
CCUCAGUGGUGCAUGUACACUUGAAACGGCAUUUGAUGACAGAUCUACCUGAAUCAGAUGAUGCUGUUGCGCAAUGGUGUAGAGAUAUUUUUGUUGCAAAGGAUGCAUUAUUGGACAAGCAUAACACUGAAGACACAUUCGGUGACCAAGAAUUGCAGGACAUUGGCCGACCAAUUAAGUCUCUUGUGGUUGUUACGUCCUGGGCAUGCUUGCUUGUUUUUGGGGUCUUGAAGUUCCUCCAGUGGUCUUCACUUAUGUCCUCGUGGAAGGGUAUUGCGAUAUCAUCAUCCGCACUGGCCGUCAUUACUGUACUUAUGCAGAUAUUGAUUCGAUUUAGUCAGUCAGAGCAUUCGACCCCUGCCAAGGUUGUCCCAGCAAAGCCCAAGAAUGCAGGAGAGCCAUCAGAAACAGGACAAGACAAACAACAUUAAGUCACAUUCUGUUAGUUAAAUCUCACACAUAGCAAUAACUUAAUCAAAUGCCUUUUUGUGAUGAUACAUUUAGUGUCUCCCUCUCUUUAAAACUUGUAUGUUUUCAUUUUAGGGUAGUAUGAACAGUUAUGUCUUUAAUUUUGUGAGUUGCACAUAUUGUAUGCAUGUCAGUUCAUUUUUGUCCAGUCAACUAGGUUCAUUCUGUACAUUGUAUCAACAGUGGCUCUAGCAUGUAUGUAUCAGUGCUCUGAUUAGGGCUAGUGCCACUGUUGAU